GAUGAACGCUGGCGGCGUGCCUAAUACAUGCAAGUCGAGCGAACAGACGAGGAGCUUGCUCCUCUGACGUUAGCGGCGGACGGGUGAGUAACACGUGGAUAACCUACCUAUAAGACUGGGAUAACUUCGGGAAACCGGAGCUAAUACCGGAUAAUAUAUUGAACCGCAUGGUUCAAUAGUGAAAGACGGUUUUGCUGUCACUUAUAGAUGGAUCCGCGCCGCAUUAGCUAGUUGGUAAGGUAACGGCUUACCAAGGCAACGAUGCGUAGCCGACCUGAGAGGGUGAUCGGCCACACUGGAACUGAGACACGGUCAAGACCCCUACGGGAGGCAGCAGUAGGGAAUCUUCCGCAAUGGGCGAAAGCCUGACGGAGCAACGCCGCGUGAGUGAUGAAGGUCUUCGGAUCGUAAAACUCUGUUAUUAGGGAAGAACAAAUGUGUAAGUAACUAUGCACGUCUUGACGGUACCUAAUCAGAAAGCCACGGCUAACUACGUG
rnacentral:rRNA from 1 species